rnacentral:rRNA from 1 species
UCUACGGGCGGCAGCAGUGGGGAAUAUUGGGCAAUGGAGGCAACUCUGACCCAGCAACGCCGCGUGAAUGAUGAAGGUCUUCGGAUUGUAAAGUUCUUUUCUAAGGGGAGAAGCACGUGACGGUACCUUAGGAUUAAGCCUCGGCUAACUACGUGCCAGCAGCCGCGGUAAUACGUAGGAGGCAAGCGUUAUCCGGAAUGACUGGGCGUAAAGGGUGCGUAGGUGGGUGUACAAGUUAGUAGUGCAACUCCGGAGCUCAACGUCGGAACUACUACUAAGACUGUUGGACUUGUGUGCAGGAGGGGCAAUCGGAAUUACUAGUGGAGCGGUGGAAUGCGUAGAUAGUAGGAGGAACACCAGUGGCGAAGGCGGAUUGCUAGACUGUAACUGACACUGAGGCACGAAAGCGUGGGGAGCAAACAGGAUUAGAUACCCGAGUAGUC